AAUCUGCCUAGAGGUCGGGGACAACCAUUGGAAACGAUGGCUAAUACCGGAUAUGCCUUACGGGGUGAAAGAUUAAUUGCCUUUAGAAGAGCUCGCGUCUGAUUAGCUAGUUGGUGAGGUAAGAGCUCACCAAGGCAGCGAUCAGUAGCUGGUCUGAGAGGAUGACCAGCCACACUGGGACUGAGACACGGCCCAGACUCCUACGGGAGGCAGCAGUGGGGAAUUUUCCGCAAUGGGCGAAAGCCUGACGGAGCAAGACCGCGUGAGGGAGGAAGGCUCUUGGGUUGUAAACCUCUUUUGUCAGGGAAGAACAAAAUGACGGUACCUGACGAAUCAGCAUCGGCUAACUCCGUGCCAGCAGCCGCGGUAAUACGGAGGAUGCAAGCGUUAUCCGGAAUUAUUGGGCGUAAAGCGUCCGCAGGUGGCUGAUCAAGUCUGCGGUCAAAGACCGGGGCUUAACCCUGGAAAGGCCGUGGAAACUGAUAGAGCUAGAGUACCGUAGGGGUAGAGGGAAUUCCCGGUGUAGCGGUGAAAUGCGUAGAGAUCGGGAAGAACAUCGGUGGCGAAAGCGCUCUACUGGACGGUGACUGACACUCAGGGACGAAAGCUAGGGGAGCGAAUGGGAUUAGAUACCCCAGUAGUCCUAGCCGUA
rnacentral:rRNA from 1 species